GACGAACGCUGGCGGCGUGCCUAAUACAUGCAAGUAGAACGCUGAAGAGAGGAGCUUGCUCUUCUUGGAUGAGUUGCGAACGGGUGAGUAACGCGUAGGUAACCUGCCUUGUAGCGGGGGAUAACUAUUGGAAACGAUAGCUAAUACCGCAUAACAAUGGAUGACACAUGUCCUUUAUUUGAAAGGGGCAAUUGCUCCACUACAAGAUGGACCUGCGUUGUAUUAGCUAGUAGGUGAGGUAAUGGCUCACCUAGGCGACGUUACAUAGCCGACCUGAGAGGGUGAUCGGCCACACUGGGACUGAGACACGGCCCAGACUCCUACGGGAGGCAGCAGUAGGGAAUCUUCGGCAAUGGGGGCAACCCUGACCGAGCAACGCCGCGUGAGUGAAGAAGGUUUUCGGAUCGUAAAGCUCUGUUGUAAGUCAAGAACGGGUGUGAGAGUGGAAAGUUCACACUGUGACGGUAGCUUACCAGAAAGGGACGGCUAACUACGUG
rnacentral:rRNA from 1 species